GACAAGCUGCCUGAAUACAGGGUUAUUUUGAUGUGAUAAAAAAUACAAAGCCUCGACUUUGUGCUGGUUA
rnacentral:tRNA from 1 species